CCACUGUGCAACACAAAAAAAAAGAAGAAGAGUUUUCAACUCUCUCUCCCUCAUCUGAAUACAGCCGGCUCCAGCAACCGGAGCCAACUCCGGCGACGAAACAAACAGCGGUGGUUGUUCCAGCCGCGACAUCCCCAAACACCUCACCCACUCCCCCCGACCUACGCGAUUUCGACACCACCCUCCGACAAAGAUUUGCGGCGGUGGCGAAGCUGGUUUCUCAUGACAGUGGUGGGUUCAGUUUGGUGCGAGUUCGGGACUCCGGUCAACUUUUGCGACACGAUCGGUUCGGGUCAGAUUUCAUGUUCAGGGUAAUCGUUCGUUCUCUUGGUUUUCCCAAUCUCUACUCAUGCGUUAAUUCAAGAAAUUCUCAUACGCAACCAAUGUUGAUGAUGAUGAUGCUAUGAAAUGAAGUAGCGUUGAUGCCUAGAUACACAUAUAUACGUUUAGGUUUAAAUGUUGUAUCAAUUUUGAUUAUGUUGUUAUGUAUUCCUUUUGAACUUGUUGUUAUUUGAAUUCCUUGUAUUGUUGACAAUUUAGUUUAUGAAAUGAAAUCGGU
rnacentral:lncRNA from 1 species